UUUAUUUAUUCGGAGUUAUUUAUUCAGUGGCCGAAUACAUGUGGUUGCAAUGGUUGUAGCGUUAUUGCGUUGUAACAUGUUUGUGGGUGUGGUGUGUUCGUGUGUGUCAUACGUACUGGUCGCAUCAUUGGUAGUGACGGCAAGUGGAUGUGAAAGUAGUAGUUCUACGUUAUGUGUGUCAGAUGCCUUGCACUCUUUUUCCUUUUUUGUUGUUUGCGUCGAAGAACUCGCAGUCACGUUGUGCGUACAUUCCUCGUUGACGUGAUCGUGAGCUACGAACAGUACUGAAUCACUAGUGUCCACGUGCCAGCUGAUUGGUAAUGGGGUCUAACCAGUUAAAUGCCCCAAGGUGAUCCAGCUGGUUGCAGGGGUUAGCAAAAAGAUGCGGCGUGCCUCAUCUGGCAAAGUCGAUGCGUCUUAUUGUGCUCUGCACAGUCGAUCUGGUGUCGCUUGCGCAGUGCGCUUGUUAUGUGGUCCGGUUUAGGAGUUUAAUUUGUGAACUGCUGCCGCUUUUUACCUAACAGCGUUCAUCGUUCUGUUCAACGGCGUUGUUUUGUUGCGUGGUAGGUGCCAAGACAAGGAAAGCAGCGCUAGCUCGUGAGAAAAGGCAGAGGAUUCGAGCGGCGAAAGUUUCAACGUAGAAAAGCCCCUUCUUGACAAUCCACUAAGACAUGGAGCAUGGUCAACUUCUACCACAGGUUGGAGAUGCAGAACCAGCAGCAAGUAACGCAUUUCUCGGCUCAAAGAGGUUGGCAUCAAAGAGUUUUUCUGCCAGCAGGGAGACACUCUUGAGGGUAAAUGCCAUCGCGAUGACAGACAUUCUCCUGCCGUCCUGGGCAACGAGCCGUUCAUUUGCCAACCGCAGCUCCAUCAGUUCUUGGCCAGCAGCCUCCAUGACCUCUCUUUGG